rnacentral:misc_RNA from 1 species
UAUCACAGAUGACUCCAGGCCAUUGUAGAGAGAAAAUAAGAAUAGAAAUCAUUAGAGUUUUCUUGCUUCUUUCCAACUUACAGCUACCAGAAAAUCAAAAUUUCCAAGUCUUAUUACUGCUUCUCUUCCUCUGCUUUUAUUGAUCAUGGAGUCUCUAAAUUUGAAGAAAAAUAUGCCUAUUCUAUUGAUAAGAAAAAUUGCAA